rnacentral:sRNA from 1 species
GACUGUUUGAAAAGCUCUAAAACAUGAAAAUAUGCAUGUGUACAUAUUGAAUCUCGUCUAA